rnacentral:rRNA from 1 species
UACGUAGGGUGCAAGCGUUGUCCGGAAUCAUUGGGCGUAAAGAGCGUGUAGGCGGCCCGUUAAGUCCGCUGUGAAAGUCCAGGGCUCAACCCUGGAAUGCCGGUGGAUACUGUCGGGCUCGAAUCCGGAAGAGGUGAGUGGAAUUCCUGGUGUAGCGGUGAAAUGCGCAGAUAUCAGGAGGAACGCCAAUGGCGAAGGCAGCUCACUGGGACGGUAUUGACGCUGAGACGCGAAAGCGUGGGGAGCAAACAGG